rnacentral:rRNA from 1 species
AUUGAACGCUGGCGGCAGGCCUAACACAUGCAAGUCGAGCGGAUGAGAGGAGCUUGCUUCUCGAUUCAGCGGCGGACGGGUGAGUAAUGCCUAGGAAUCUGCCUGGUAGUGGGGGACAACGUUUCGAAAGGAACGCUAAUACCGCAUACGUCCUACGGGAGAAAGCAGGGGACCUUCGGGCCUUGCGCUAUCAGAUGAGCCUAGGUCGGAUUAGCUAGUUGGUGAGGUAAUGGCUCACCAAGGCGACGAUCCGUAACUGGUCUGAGAGGAUGAUCAGUCACACUGGAACUGAGACACGGUCCAGACUCCUACGGGAGGCAGCAGUGGGGAAUAUUGGACAAUGGGCGAAAGCCUGAUCCAGCCAUGCCGCGUGUGUGAAGAAGGUCUUCGGAUUGUAAAGCACUUUAAGUUGGGAGGAAGGGUUGUAGAUUAAUACUCUGCAAUUUUGACGUUACCGACGGAAUAAGCACCGGCUAACUCUGUGCCAGCAGCCGCCGCGGUAA